rnacentral:rRNA from 1 species
AGCGUACACGGUGGAUGCCCUGGCAGUCAGAGGCGAUGAAGGACGUGCUAAUCUGCGAUAAGCGUCGGUAAGGUGAUAUGAACCGUUAUAACCGGCGAUUUCCGAAUGGGGAAACCCAGUGUGUUUCGACACACUAUCAUUAACUGAAUCCAUAGGUUAAUGAGGCGAACCGGGGGAACUGAAACAUCUAAGUACCCCGAGGAAAAGAAAUCAACCGAGUUUCCCCCAGUAGCGGCGAGCGAACGGGGAGCAGCCCAGAGCCUGAAUCAGUGUGUGUGUUAGUGGAAGCGUCUGGAAAGGCGCGCGAUACAGGGUGACAGCCCCGUACACAAAAAUGCACAUGCUGUGAGCUCGAUGAGUAGGGCGGGACACGUGGUAUCCUGUCUGAAUAUGGGGGGACCAUCCUCCAAGGCUAAAUACUCCUGACUGACCGAUAGUGAACCAGUACCGUGAGGGAAAGGCGAAAAGAACCCCGGCGAGGGGAGUGAAAAAGAACCUGAAACCGUGUACGUACAAGCAGUGGGAGCACGCUUAGGCGUGUGACUGCGUACCUUUUGUAUAAUGGGUCAGCGACUUAUAUUCUGUAGCAAGGUUAACCGAAUAGGGGAGCCGAAGGGAAACCGAGUCUUAACUGGGCGUUAAGUUGCAGGGUAUAGACCCGAAACCCGGUGAUCUAGCCAUGGGCAGGUUGAAGGUUGGGUAACACUAACUGGAGGACCGAACCGACUAAUGUUGAAAAAUUAGCGGAUGACUUGUGGCUGGGGGUGAAAGGCCAAUCAAACCGGGAGAUAGCUGGUUCUCCCCGAAAGCUAUUUAGGUAGCGCCUCGUGAAUUCAUCUCCGGGGGUAGAGCACUGUUUCGGCAAGGGGGUCAUCCCGACUUACCAACCCGAUGCAAACUGCGAAUACCGGAGAAUGUUAUCACGGGAGACACACGGCGGGUGCUAACGUCCGUCGUGAAGAGGGAAACAACCCAGACCGCCAGCUAAGGUCCCAAAGUCAUGGUUAAGUGGGAAACGAUGUGGGAAGGCCCAGACAGCCAGGAUGUUGGCUUAGAAGCAGCCAUCAUUUAAAGAAAGCGUAAUAGCUCACUGGUCGAGUCGGCCUGCGCGGAAGAUGUAACGGGGCUAAACCAUGCACCGAAGCUGCGGCAGCGACGCUUAUGCGUUGUUGGGUAGGGGAGCGUUCUGUAAGCCUGCGAAGGUGUGCUGUGAGGCAUGCUGGAGGUAUCAGAAGUGCGAAUGCUGACAUAAGUAACGAUAAAGCGGGUGAAAAGCCCGCUCGCCGGAAGACCAAGGGUUCCUGUCCAACGUUAAUCGGGGCAGGGUGAGUCGACCCCUAAGGCGAGGCCGAAGGCGUAGUCGAUGGGAAACAGGUUAAUAUUCCUGUACUUGGUGUUACUGCGAAGGGGGACGGAGAAGGCUAUGUUGGCCGGGCGACGGUUGUCCCGGUUUAAGCGUGUAGGCUGGUUUCCAGGCAAAUCCGGAAAACUAAGGCUGAGGCGUGAUGACGAGGCACUACGGUGCUGAAGCAACAAAUGCCCUGCUUCCAGGAAAAGCCUCUAAGCAUCAGGUAACAUCAAAUCGUACCCCAAACCGACACAGGUGGUCAGGUAGAGAAUACCAAGGCGCUUGAGAGAACUCGGGUGAAGGAACUAGGCAAAAUGGUGCCGUAACUUCGGGAGAAGGCACGCUGAUAUGUAGGUGAAGUCCCUCGCGGAUGGAGCUGAAAUCAGUCGAAGAUACCAGCUGGCUGCAACUGUUUAUUAAAAACACAGCACUGUGCAAACACGAAAGUGGACGUAUACGGUGUGACGCCUGCCCGGUGCCGGAAGGUUAAUUGAUGGGGUCAGCGCAAGCGAAGCUCUUGAUCGAAGCCCCGGUAAACGGCGGCCGUAACUAUAACGGUCCUAAGGUAGCGAAAUUCCUUGUCGGGUAAGUUCCGACCUGCACGAAUGGCGUAAUGAUGGCCAGGCUGUCUCCACCCGAGACUCAGUGAAAUUGAACUCGCUGUGAAGAUGCAGUGUACCCGCGGCAAGACGGAAAGACCCCGUGAACCUUUACUAUAGCUUGACACUGAACAUUGAGCCUUGAUGUGUAGGAUAGGUGGGAGGCUUUGAAGUGUGGACGCCAGUCUGCAUGGAGCCGACCUUGAAAUACCACCCUUUAAUGUUUGAUGUUCUAACGUUGACCCGUAAU